GGUAUGGGUAGGCUGGUAGAGGAGUUCAUGGCCAAAGAAGACAACAUCUUUCAAAUGAAAUCAGAGCAACCGUAGUUGAUCAUGUCAUCAACCAUGGGCUGACAAUGCGAGAGGCUGGACAGAGAGUGCAGCCCAACUUGAGCCGUUUUACUGUCGCCUCUGUCAUCCGGACAUUUAGACUGGAGUACAGGACUGAGAGACGCAACCAUGGUAGAGGAAGGGGCCAAAUGUUCACCGCAGUACAGGAAGCUAACAUUGUAAACUUGGUUUUGGAAAAUAAUGAAAUCAGAUUACGAGAAAUUCAAUGCCACAUCAUCCAAGACAACACCAUAUUCAACAACAUUCAAUGAGUCAGUCUGUCCACAUUGGAUCGCAUUCUCACGCAAAACCAAAUCGGAAUGAAACAACUUUAUAAGGUGCCGUUUGAGAGAAACUCUCAAAGAAACAAAGCGUUCAGACGAGCAUAUGUGGAUGGAGUACUGGAAAUGGAUGCUCAUGCAAUCCCACAUGAGUUCAUCUUUAUAGAUGAGACUGGGUUCAACCAAGCAAAGACCAGAAGAAGGGGGAGAAACGUCAUUGGCCACAGAGCCAUUAUAGAUGUUCCUGGCCAACGUGGUGGGAACAUCACAAUGUGCGCUGCCAUCUCCAAUACGCAUGGUGUCCUCCACCGUCAUGCCAACCUUGGACCAUACAACACAGCCCAUAUUAUCACAUUUCUGGACAGACUCCACAACAUUCUCAUAUCACCAGAGCGUAUGAAUGAUGCAGAUCAUCAAAGAACCCGGUACGUUGUAGUAUGGGACAACAUGAGCUUUCAUCGUGCAGCCCCAGUCCAAAACUGGUUUGCUGACCACCAACCAUUUCUCGUGCAAUACCUCCCACCAUACUCACCAUUUCUGAACCCCAUAGAAGAGUUGUUUUCGGCAUGGCGGUGGAAGGUAUACGACCGGCAGCCCUUUGUGCUCAUGCCUCUUGUGCAGGCUAUGGAAGAGGCAUGUGAUGAGAUUGAUGUGGGUGCGAUUCAGGGAUGGAUAAGGCACUCAAGGCACUUCUUCACUCGAUGUCUGGCAAGGGAAGAUAUUGCCUGUGAUGUGGACGAGGCGUUGUGGCCAGACCCAGCUGUGCGGCAAGAUGCUGCCUCUUUUUUUCUAUAUAUUUUUUCUGCACAUUUUUUAUGAGAUUUUCAGUUUACUAUUUUUUUGUGAGCAUAUUUUUGUUCAGUCCAAUGUAAAUAUAUCUGCUGUGCAUAUGUUGAAUGAAUUGUGUGCCAUUUCGUGCAAACGUUUGAUUUUGAUAAUUCUAUAUGUAGUUUUGGUUGCCUUGCUUCAUUUUGCAGGACCGGGUUCCCCUCGUAUAUGAGGUAUUUUGCAGUUUGGGUGUGUGGUUUUGUGAAUUGUGUUAAGUAUUUUCAUAAAACCAGCCUAGUUUGCAAAAUUGUGUUUUAGCAAUUGGGAAAAACUGUAACAGUACUGACUGCUCAAUAGAUUUUGACUGGUUGCAGGUUCAUAUCAACCAAGAAGAAGAGUUACAGUAUCACAGAGACAAAGGACAAGUUUGUGAGAUGCAGGGUACAGUACUGUAAAAAUAGGGGUACAAGGGGUGGAAGAACAAAAAAACAUAAUUGCAAAGCAGAGUAGUAAUUUCUGAUCAAUUUUGAGCUACUAUGAUAGAACAUGUUUUCAUUCAUCAAAAGACAAUGACGGAAAAAUAUGAAUAUUUUUUUAGAUUAAAAAUGUACUUCUCCCUGAGAAUUGUAUGUUUUGAACAAUGUGUUUUCUAUUUUUCGGUGUAUUGUUUACUGACUGCUUGAGAGUGUAUAUCAUUUUGAUCACUUUGUUUAUGAUUUUAGAGCAGUGUUUGAUUUUGAACACAGGUAAAACUGUUUUGAGGCAAAUGUUUCAUUUUGCGAGAGGAGCCAGAGGUUAUGUAAAUAGUGCUUGAAGAUGAGGUUUUGUGUUUAAUGUUUUCAGAAAAUGAAGCAAGGUUUCAGAAAUUGUGUUUUAGCAAUUGAGAAAAACUGUAACACUUCAUAGAAGCCCAGAGACGGAAUCUUCAAGUCAUUUCCUUACCCGUUAAUACCUUAUUUGUUUCUCUCUCCCUUCAUUUUGCAUCAUCAUGGUGACACUUUUUGUCUUGAAAGUCUAAUAUCUUGAAAACUUGACUACUGACAUGAAAAAUGUUUUCGGACUGUAUCAAACAGUGGACUAAUGAUAAAAUUAAAAAAAUUCAUGGUUUGCUUUGCAGUCUCAACCUUGUCUCAGCGCAACAACAGAAGGCACAACGUAAAUAUUUAUGUUUCUACCUAGCUGCCUCCUUCACUUCCCUUAUCAUCCCUCGCUCAGGAUGAGAGGAGAGUAGUGGAUAUUGACCAAAAAAUCUUGUGGCAAAGAAAUAAACAAAACCAUUCUCGUUGUGACGAGCGUGCCUACAAUGUACCAUCACUAAAAUACUCAUGUUUUGUCAUGUCAUUGAAAUGAGAACUGCCUCGGUUCCACCACAAUCAAAAGAAGUGCAUCACUGACCCUGUCUGUUUUUUUGUUGUUGUACUUUUCACGUUGGUGACUCAUCAUCUUGACUUCUUUCAAAUUGAAAUGUCAGAUUCUACGAGUCAUCCUAUUAUGU